GUAUCUGCCUACCCAGAGCACAGAAAUCCUGGUGGGACUAGGGCACUCUUUCCCUCUCCCCUCUUCCCUUACAGCAACAGCCCCACAUAUGUUUGCCUGCAUGUUGCCAUGCUCCCUGCCAUGAUGACAAUUUGGACUAAACUUCUGAAACUUAGUGCCUUCUGGUGUUUGGAUUCCUUCAGUAGUACCUGAAUUUGAUUGUCUUCAGCUCCGUUUCCUUGAACAACAUUCAAGACUAUAUCCUGAGACUAAUACUGUAUGAUUUGGAAAGAUUUCUAAAUUUAAAGAGCAGACUGGAAUGAGAGGUUAAUAACUGUUAAUGCUGUGC
rnacentral:lncRNA from 1 species